rnacentral:rRNA from 1 species
GACAGAGGGUGCAAACGUUGUUCGGAAUUACUGGGCGUAAAGCGUGUGUAGGUGGCUGCGUAAGUCGGAUGUGAAAGCCCUGGGCUCAACUCAGGAAGUGCACUCGAUACUGCGUAGCUCGAGUACCGGAGAGGUUGGUAGAAUUCUCGGUGUAGAGGUGAAAUUCGUAGAUAUCGUAAGGAAGACCAGUGGCGAAGGCGAAUCUCUGGACAGUUACUGACACUGAGGCACGAAGGCCAGGGGAGCAAACGGG